AUACGGAGGGUGCGAGCGUUGUUCGGAAUUAUUGGGCGUAAAGCGCGUGUAGGCGGUCUUUUAAGUCUGAUGUGAAAUCCCCGGGCUCAACCUGGGAACUGCGCUUGUGACUGCAAGGCUAGAGUACGGCAGAGGGGGGUGGAAUUCCCGGUGUAGAGGUGAAAUUCGUAGAUAUCGGGAGGAACACCAGUGGCGAAGGCGACCACCUGGACGAGAACUGACGCUGAGACGCGAAAGCGUGGGGAGC
rnacentral:rRNA from 1 species